rnacentral:rRNA from 1 species
CACUCCUGCGGGAGGCAGCAGUGGGGAAUUUUGGACAAUGGGCGAAAGCCUGAUCCAGCAAUGCCGCGUGAGUGAAGAAGGCCUUCGGGUUGUAAAGCUCUUUUGUCAGGGAAGAAACGGUGAAAGCUAAUAUCUUUUGCUAAUGACGGUACCUGAAGAAUAAGCACCGGCUAACUACGUGCCAGCAGCCGCGGUAAUACGUAGGGUGCAAGCGUUAAUCGGCAUUACUGGGCGUAAAGCGUGCGCAGGCGGUUUUGUAAGUCUGAUGUGAAAUCCCCGGGCUCAACCUGGGAAUUGCAUUGGAGACUGCAAGGCUAGAAUCUGGCAGAGGGGGGUAGAAUUCCACGUGUAGCAGUGAAAUGCGUAGAUAUGUGGAGGAACACCGAUGGCGAAGGCAGCCCCCUGGGUCAAGAUUGACGCUCAUGCACGAAAGCGUGGGGAGCAAACAGGAUUAGAUACCCUAGUAGUCCCA